CUGCCUGCUUGGAGAUUAAUUUCUUCUCAGGCACAGGAUGGAGAUGCCCCAGCUACUUCUUGCCCUGUUCUGCUCUUUCACCUGUGCCACCUCGGCAGUGACACUGGUGGAGUCUGGCCCAGGGGUGGUGAAGCCUGGAGGAACCCUGACCCUGACCUGUGCUGUCUCUGGUGCCUCCAUUUAUGAUUCAAGCUAUGGUUGGAACUGGAUCCGGCAGCCUCCUGGGAAAGGGCUGGAGUGGGUAGCAUACAUCUAUCCUUACAGUGGGGGCACAUUGUUCAACCCCUCUCUCCAGAGCCGAACCACCAUCUCUGCAGACACAUCCAAGGACCAGGUCUCCCUGCAGCUGCGCUACCUGGCAGCGGCAGACACCGCCACGUAUUUCUGUGCCAGGGACACAGUGACACAGAGCAGAGCAGGGGCUGCACAAAAAGGCGAAGCUUUUCUCACCCACAUGCCCCAGGUCUUUUGA